rnacentral:rRNA from 1 species
UACGAAGGGGGCUAGCGUUGUUCGGAAUUACUGGGCGUAAAGCGCACGUAGGCGGAUAUUUAAGUCAGGGGUGAAAUCCCAGAGCUCAACUCUGGAACUGCCUUUGAUACUGGGUAUCUCGCGUAUGGAAGAGGUGAGUGGAAUUCCGAGUGUAGAGGUGAAAUUCGUAGAUAUUCGGAGGAACACCAGUGGCGAAGGCGGCUCACUGGUCCAUUACUGACGCUGAGGUGCGAAAGCGUGGGGAGCAAACAGG